rnacentral:rRNA from 1 species
CGCACGGGCAUGCUCAGUACGGCGAGUGAAGCGGCAAGAGCUCAAAUUUGAAAGCUGGCUCCUUCGGGGUCCGCAUUGUAAUUUGCAGAGGAUGCUUCGGGUGCGGCCCCUGUCUAAGUGCCCUGGAACGGGCCGUCAGAGAGGGUGAGAAUCCCGUCUGGGAUGGGGUGUCCGCGCCCGUGUGAAGCUCCUUCGACGAGUCGAGUUGUUUGGGAAUGCAGCUCUAAAUGGGUGGUAAAUUUCAUCUAAAGCUAAAUACUGGCCGGAGACCGAUAGCGCACAAGUAGAGUGAUCGAAAGAUGAAAAGCACUUUGAAAAGAGAGUUAAAAAGCACGUGAAAUUGUUGAAAGGGAAGCGCUUGCGACCAGACUCGCCUCCAGGGUUCAGCCGGCAUUCGUGCCGGUGUACUUCCCUGGGGGCGGGCCAGCGUCGGUUUGGGCGGCCGGUCAAAGGCUCCCGGAAUGUAGUGCCCUCCGGGGCACCUUAUAGCCGGGAGUGCAAUGCGGCCAGCCUGGACCGAGGAACGCGCUUCGGCACGGACGCUGGCAUAAUGGUCGUAAACGACCCGUCUUGAAACCGGGACCAAA